GUAGCCAUUCUUGUGGCAAAGAUUAUAAUGACAGGGAGAAACGGUGCAAAAUUAACCAAUUCUUGCAUCUUCCAACAGUAAUCUAACAAGCCUCCUUGUGUUCUGUAUAAUGUGCUAUAUUAGACCCAAAGAGUGGGUGAGAGUGUGUGAGCGAGAAAAAUGAAAUACCGCACACCUUGGGUCAUAAUUUAACUUACCAGCUUUAGCCUAACAGUCAGAAAUCUGCUGUUGCCCAUGCUGUUGCCAGAAGGUGCCACUGUAACAAGCAGAAAAGCACCCAAAGAUCUCGGAAGAAUUAGGAGGAUACCGCGGCCCUAAAAUAAAACAGCUCACAGGGCUGUAGCGCUGCCCUGCUGUGCUGUGCGGCCUUUGGGUGAGUUAGCUCGCCUCCGCGCAUCCCACAUCUCCGGCGCCCCUGCAGGUCACGGCCCAGGGCUGGUGUUUGAACGUUGGCAGCCCAUGAGGUGUCGAGUGCCUCUGAGGUGUGAGGAGAGAGAUGCUCCUGUGGACUCUCCUAGAAGCUUUUGUGAUUUCUGCAGCAAGAACUGAGAUAGUCAGCCCCUUGUUAGAUGCAGACCUUCAGUAACUUAGGCUACAACAGACUAUCAAUCAGCUGUGGAUUUUCUUUAAAAAUACGGUUACUGGAAAGGAGACUGGAACUUUCGAUGUUCAGGCAAUGUCUGUCAUUGUGUGCACUUCAGAAAAUAAGCAGAGCAAGGAUUGUGAGACCAAAGGGGCUGGGAAGCAGCAGGAGAAGGCUGCUCUACGAGGGCAGGAGAGUAGGAGCUGAGGAGGGUGCCCGUCCCACCAUGCCUGGGCCCUGGCCUAACCCCAAAGUGGAGAUGGACAAUGACCCCCAAGUAGACCUGGAGGUCUGGAAACCUUCCAGUUCAGAUGUCCCCACAGGUGUCCUCCUGGAGCUCCAUAUGUCAGUGCAGCUGCACCUAGACCUCCCUCACUGCCAGGGGCUGCACAGCACCGAGGUUGCCUCACACCACUCCAUUCACCCUCACAUGUCCCAAGUACCAAACACAACGUCCGCCAGCACAAGCCAUUUCCUCCAUCAGCAUUAGACCCUGAGUUUAGCUAUCUACAGCUAUCUAGUCUGCUGGCCCCAAUAGCCAAGAAAUAUAGAAUAUCAUAGUUUCAUACUUUAGUAAAUACUACGAAUUCUACUCACAAAAAAAUGUGUGUUUUCUCACCUAGAGGUGAGACGCAAAACUUGCUGAGGAAGCUGGAAGGCAUAUAAAAAUGAAGCCAGGAUUGCAGAAAAGAAAAAGAUUGUCUUACGGGUAAGGCACAUAAACGUCCCAUUGAAAAACUGGAUUCUAACUUUUGCUCCUAUGUACAUGCUGGUAUUGGACUAGGCAAGUCACUUAAACUUUUUUCAAUUAAAUGCUGAAUGUGAUCUUCAUUUUCCUUGAAACCUACUUGAGAGCUUUCAAAUUUGCAGAAGUGUUAGGUCUCACAAACAUAGCAGUGGCUGAUUGAGACUCUGUAAAUAACAUGCUAUAAAAGCAUAUAAAGUGCUGUAGAACACUAAGUGCCCUGGAAAAUUGGGAUCUAAGCAUCUCGUUCUGGGGACCCAAAAUUAAUGGACACUUGACUUCUUGAUCUAAAGUCUCUGUGAUUUAGUUUCCUUUCUGUAAAAAGGAUAAAAAAUAAUACCACUCUUUACAAGUAUUUGUAAAGCUUAAUUAGUUUAGAUUUGUGGAGCACUCUGAUCCUAUAGUGAUGAAUGUUUUAAAGAAGUACAUGAGGAAAUUAACAAUUUUCUACUCAAUGCUGGAUUAAGUGACAGGCUGCAGAUCAGGCUAGGUAUCACACAAUGCUUGCAGAUACAAAGAUAUAUACAGUCCAUCCUGAAUGAAGAACAGACUGAGCCUCAUGGAAAGUUGAUGAGGCAAUUCUCUCAAAAGAGAAUUGCAGAACUUUAUGCAUAAUAAUGCAGAUCAAGGUUUUCUCUAUCUGUGAAAUCCCUUGCAUUUUCUCAGAGAGGAAGAAGAUAUGCAUAUUUUGUGAGAGGGAAAGGGCUGCAGCAGUAAGUCGUGGUUUAGCAGCAUCUUUAGGUCU
rnacentral:lncRNA from 1 species